rnacentral:lncRNA from 1 species
AGGUGAACGACUUUAGAUUGGAUAUGGAUAUUUGAGGGGAAAAUUUAUAUUUGUCUUUUUUGUUUGUUUUUUAUUUUUGAAAUGUAGUCUAGCUCUGCUGCCCAUGCUGGAGUGCAGCGGCGCCAUCUGCAUCUUUCACCUCCUGGGUUCAAGCAAUUCUCAGGCCUCAGUCUCUGGAGUAGGUGGAAUUACAGACGCCAGCCACCACGGAGGGCUAAUUUUUGGAUUUUUGGAUUUUUGGUAGAGACGGGGUUUCGCCAUGUUGGCCAGCCUACCCUCAAACUCCUGGGCUCAAGUGAUCUGCUCACCUUGGCCUCCUAAAGUUCUGCGAUUACAGGUGCCCGGCUGCAUAGCAGUUGAGUGAUGCUGGUUAGCUGUUAAGGUGGCCUGUUGCAGUGCAGAGUGCUGAGCUGUUUCCUGUUUUCUUCUGAUUGCUCCUGAAAAAAGAAGCCCUGUCCUGAAGAACAAAUGGCUUUUCAGUUUAUUAAAAUGCCUGUCAACUGCCCUUCCAGUCACCCAGGCCUGGAAGAGAAAUAAUAGAGCAUGCAGUGAGCACAUCUAGCUGAUAUGAUAAUCACACCUCUUCCCCCUCCCUAUUCUGUUAAAUGGCAAAUCUGAUCAUGUCAACAUACAUGAACUUAAAAUAUGGGGAAUGUUAUUGAAGAAAUGGUUUGUAAGUGUAGGUACUUAUAACAUGGUGUAUGUUUUUGAUUAUGAAUAUUUCUUACUAUAACCAUGUUUCUAUCAUUGAAUUAAAAUGUUUUCUUGGUGUUACCUUUUCUCAAAAUAAAACUAGAAAUAUUUUGUAGAAAAAAACUAUCUUGACUACUGUAGUUAUAUAGUAAGCCUUAG